rnacentral:rRNA from 1 species
GUGUCAGCAGCCGCGGUAACACGUAGGAGACGAGCGUUAUCCGGAUUUACUGGGCGUAAAGCGCGGGUCGGUGGGGUCUUAAGUCAUGCGUGAAAGCUCUCGGCUUAACCGGGAGAGGUCGUGUGAAACUGGGGCUCUCAGAGGUAGGUAGAGGCAGAUGGAAUUCCGGGUGGAGUGGUGAAAUGCGUAGAGAUCCGGAGGAACACCAGUGGCGAAGGCGAUCUGCUAGGCCUGACCUGACACUCAGCCGCGACAGCAUGGGGAGCGAACGGGAUUAGAAACCCCGGUAGUCC